rnacentral:rRNA from 1 species
GAAGAGUCAGCCGACGGGAGUUGGAACAGAAGGGGCCAGCGGGGGGUGCGCAAGAAGAGGUGUAUGUACGCGUCUUGAGGGUGUUGCGGGUGGGUAGGGGAGGGAGGAAGGGUCGAGACCUAGGUCUACCUUAGCUCCGGUGUUGGCUCGCAGAGGAGUACCGGAGAAGUGCUCGAGGGUGACGGCGGACCUCGAGUUCGACGGUCGGCAGGUUCCGGAGCGGUCCUUGCCUAGGCGCUGUGGCACGGAGCAGGAGCGUGUACGGGCCGGCGCGGUAGCCUCGGGGGGCGUCUCCGUCACGAGGCGGUGGGCUACGACAAGAAGCGCAGCGGGGUGCGAGGGUUUCGACCCUUGGCCGAGGGGCGGAGGUUCAAGAGCCGUAUCUGCAGGGCACGACGGACGUGGGAGCGGUUCGGGCUGAGCGUCGGCACCUCGGGCUCGAGCGGUUCCGCGAAGUUGAGGCGGCGGCGCGGUAGAAGAAGUCCGCGAGUUCGUGCUCGUGUUCGAGCGGGCGCGGGGUGGAGAGAGACGGCGAGGCAGGCGGCGGGCACCACGGCACUGGGCGGUGACGGCACGGGACGUAGCGAGACAUCAGCGCGGCGGACCCAGCUACGCCAGUCGCGAGGGUUCGGCAACUGGGACGCGGUCCCCUGCUGAUAAAGGAGGGUACGCACGCGCGGGCACGAGGUCGGGAGGGGAGGGGUACGACGGCCGUGUGAGCGCGGUGCCCCGGCAUAGGUCGGACACGGACCUGCUGCCUUCGGAGGGGUGACAGGCACGCGAGGCCGGUCGAGGGACAGCGCGAGCUCUGGAGGAGAUCAGAAGGGCGGCUCCGGAAGGGACACUGGUCGGAAACUGAACCCAGAGGACAGGCGGAGCCGCGCCUGCGGGCGGUGCUGCGGCCGCCGUUCGCCGCUGCGCACGGGCCGCUACCUCUUGCCGUCCUAUUCGCCGCUCUGCGCACCACGACUCGGUCAGUUAUUCCUUAUUCCCGGCGCCCGUAUCAAAGAUUGUUUAAAUCCCCCCAAAUGCGUUUUUGCUUUGCAAAAAGGUUUCACGGUGAAUUUGUCCCUGACGCCCAAUUAAAGUUUCUUUGUCUCCCCGAAAAAGCGUUUUUGUGGCUGCUGCAUGCUGGUCUUCGUGAGGCACGAAAUAAUCAUGAUCGUUUUCCCGGGCACGCAACGUUGCCCUCUUUUUUUAAGUAUUAAAGUUUACCAGUACUAGUGUAAAGCAACGUAGUGGCUCUAUGUUAUAGAGAGAGUUAAAGAGCUUUAGUAUUUGUAAAACUUUAAUACUUGUUAAACAAUUUGAGUACGUGUAUAAACUUUAGCGUUUGUUGUAUGAUAAUGUUUAAAGACUUGUAAAAGAUGUUAGUUCUUGUAAAAAAGUUAAAUACUUAUAAAAAACGAUAAAUGUUUGUAAAAAAUUUUUAACACUUGUAAAAAUUCGUUAAAAGGACUUGACCGUUUGUAAGAUAUUAGCUACUUUUAUAAAUCUUUAACCCACCUUAUCAAUAACUUAAACUGCUUGAAAAAAACUAAAUCGCUUGUAAAAACCUUUACGGGCACGGAACGUUGCCU